rnacentral:rRNA from 1 species
AGUGAACGCUGGCGGUAGGCCUAACACAUGCAAGUCGAACGGCAGCACAGUAAGAGCUUGCUCUUACGGGUGGCGAGUGGCGGACGGGUGAGGAAUACAUCGGAAUCUACUUUUUCGUGGGGGAUAACGUAGGGAAACUUACGCUAAUACCGCAUACGACCUACGGGUGAAAGCAGGGGAUCUCGGACCUUGCGCGAUUGAAUGAGCCGAUGUCGGAUUAGCUAGUUGGCGGGGUAAAGGCCCACCAAGGCGACGAUCCGUAGCUGGUCUGAGAGGAUGAUCAGCCACACUGGAACUGAGACACGGUCCAGACUCCUACGGGAGGCAGCAGUGGGGAAUAUUGGACAAAGGGCGCAAGCCUGAUCCAGCUAUACCGCGUGGGUGAAGAAGGCCUUCGGGUUGUAAAGCCCUUUUGUUGGGAAAGAAAAGCAGCAGGUUAAUACCCCGCUGUUCUGACGGUACCCAAAGAAUAAGCACCGGCUAACUUCGUG